rnacentral:rRNA from 1 species
AGUAUACCAAGGCGCUUGAGAGAAGUAUCCUGAAGGAACUCGGCAAAUUACCUCCGUAACUUCGGGAGAAGGAGGCCCUAUCAGAAGGCAACUUUUGGUAGGGGGCACAAGCUGGGGGGUAGCGACUGUUUAGCAAAAACACAGGGCUCUGCUAAGUCGGCUUCAAGACGACGUAUAGGGUCUGACGUCUGCCCGGUGCCUGAAGGUUAA